rnacentral:lncRNA from 10 species
GCUGUUCUUUAUAUAUGUAAAUGAUGUUCUGUUCCUCACCCAUCACCAAUCACACAGGUACUUAGGUUGCAAGGUGUGGGGACUGCCAUGGUGAUGAUGGCUCUCCCCACCAGUCCUCAAUGGGAAUAUCAGCAAGACGCCAGUCCACAGUAAGGGAUUCUGUCUGGGCCCUCCAGACACCCAGAGGGCCACGAUGAGAUCCACUCCAGAGGAGUAAUUGUACCCUGCCCCAAACUACCAGGGAUCUUGACACUGACAUAGCUCUUUAUACUUUCCAACUCCAGAAGUAUUAACUGGGAACAACUACAUUUUCCAGCCCUGAGCUUGUGGACCAGCUCCAGAUCUUGUGAUCUGAUCUCUCCCUAUGACUGUUACAACUGCCUCAAGAUGGCUUACUCUGCCUCCCGUCCCAUCCCACUCCUAAUCACUCCCCACACUGCUACAAGAGGGGCUUCCUUAUACCUUAUACAAAAGUUAACUCAGAUAGAUGAAAUACUUAAAUGUAAAACCCCAAACUAUAAAAAUCCUAGAAGAAAAUCUAGGCAAUACCAUUCAGAACAUAGGCAUGGGCAAAGAUUUUAUGAUGAAAUUGCCAAAAGCAAUUUCAACAAAAGCUAAAAUUGACAAAUGGGACAUAAUUACACUAGGUUGAUAGGUGCAGCAAACCACCUUGGCACACAUUUACCUAUGUAACAAGCCUGCACAUUCUGCACAUGUAUCCUAGAGCUUAAAAUAAAAUAAAAUAAACCCAAGGAGGUAAAGACAAGAGGGAGAGAGGGGAAACAGAAACAAGGAAGGACAGUGCCAGAAGAGGAAGUCAGGCAGAAGAGGGAAGGAAGGGAGAGGAGGAGUGUACAGGAGAGCUGGACAGAGGAAGGCCUGGCGGGGCCACUCUGGUUCUCCGGCUCUUCUUUGCCUGGCCAACGCCCAGAGAACCCUGCUCCCCUGGGAGCCGGGACCACAUCUGCCCUUCUGUGUGUCAGCCAGGGGCAUCUGGCAUCCGGCAAGUGGCAGCUCCCUCAUCAUCCUGUCUGAUCCAAAUUCAACCCACAUUCAGCCAGGUGACCAUGGUGGCUCCCCCCCAGGGUGGAGGUCUGUCCUGAGGCUGUCUGCACUUCCCAAUGGAGCUGGCUUCGAACCCACUGCUCUUGCCUCUCUUUCCAUUCCCUAGAAGGCUGGCUGCCCCUGGAGAUGUUUCUGCACCAAGCCACUUUCUCCAGCUGGGGACUAGCAUCAGG